rnacentral:tRNA from 1 species
AUACAGGUGCCGUAGAAUAGCGUUACUUCGACUUCAACUCGGGUGGUCGCGGGUUCGAAUCCCGCCCUCGAUC